UACGUAGGGGCCGAGCGUUGUCCGGAUUUAUUGGGCGUAAAGAGCGUGUAGGCGGCCAUGUAGGUCCGUUGUGAAAACUCGAGGCUCAACCUCGAGACGCCGAUGGAAACCAUGUGGCUAGAGUCCGGAAGAGGAGAGUGGAAUUCCUGGUGUAGCGGUGAAAUGCGCAGAUAUCAGGAAGAACACCUGUGGCUAAGGCGGCUCUCUAGUACGGUACUGACGCUGAGACGCGAAAGCGUGGGGAGCGAACAGG
rnacentral:rRNA from 1 species